CCGACGCCUUCACACGUGCAACUUUGAGGGAGUACUUGAAGCGCGCUGUGGGCACAGCAUCUAGACUCACAGUCCGGAGUCACCAAGCAGAAGCUAGAACUCAGCAUUGACCUCACAAGUCAACUUGACCGAGGUUGAAACCAGAAUCCCAUUCUCUGACGCCCUGAUUUGCCAUUCUCUCCACUGAACUCCUCCCCACACCGAGGAGAGCAGAGAGGUGUAGGGCUGAGGGGUUUUAUGAAGGGAAGGAUCAAACCCACAUCAGUAUUCUUUUCAGUCCAGAGGAAUUUCUUCACAGAUCCCCUCCCAUCCGGAAGCCUUUGAUACAUUUAUGGUACCCUGAAAAGUACAGUAGUGCCCGAUAUAUCACCAUGGCUUCUACACUUGCUUCUGGACAUCCUGGGCUGGAAAUAAAGACUCUGCAUAUAGUCGCUGCUGUUGUUCAGUUGUCAGUCGGAUCUGACUCUGCAAGGCCAUGCACCACCGCCCGCCAGGCUCCUCUGUCCGUGGGGUUUUCCCAGCAAGAAUAAUGAGUUUGUACCACCAACUUCCCCACCCACUGGAACAUAAGCCCAGAGGACAGCAGGAACUUGGCCCGUGUCAUAUACAGUAAGUCCCCUACAUAGGGAUGACUCCUGUUCUGAGAGUACAUACGUAAGUCAGCUUGCUUGGGUAAGUCCAGCAAAGUUAGCCUAGGUACAUAAAAACAAAAAAUACACACACAGAAAAACAAAGAAAACGUUUGUAAUCUCACAGUACAUUACUUUGCCAACACAGGUCAGUCUAGUCAAGGCUAUGGUUUUUCCAGUGGCCAUGGAUGGACGUGAGACUUGGACUAAAGAAAGCUGAGCACAGAAGAAUUGGUGCUUUUGAACUGUGGUGUUAGAGAAGAUUCUUGAGAGUCCCUUGGACUGCAAGGAGAUCCCACCAGUCCAUCCUAAAGGAAAUCAGUCCUGAAUAUUCAUUGGAAGGACUGAUGCUGAAGCCAAAGCUCAAAUCCUUUGGCCACCUGAUGUAAAAAGCUGACUCAUUUGAAAAGACCAUGAUGCUGGGAAAGAUUGAAGGCGGGAAGAGAAGGGGAUGACAGAGGAUGAGAUGGUUGGAUGGCAUCACUGACUCGAUGGACAUGAGUUUGAGUAAGCUCCGGGAGUUGGCGAACAGGGAGGCCUGGCGUGCUGCAGUCCAUGGGGUCGCAGCAACUCCAAAGAGUUGGACAUGACUGAGUGACUGAACUGAACUGACAGUACCUUGAAAACUACAGAAGUACUGGCUAUAUCCCCACUACUUUCACUAUUGCUUCCAGACAUCCUGGGCUUGACAUAAACAUAGUGUAUUACUAUAGUCUAUGCAGUACUGUAUAGUGAAGCACACAAAAGAACAGUCAUGCAGCAACAUAUACCAGACACGUGACUGGACAUGUGAACACACGUUUGAGUCUUUGAAAGUUCACAGCUUGAAGGUUUGUAUGUAGGGGACUGACUGUUCUGUGCUGUCUCGGAAACCUACAACAGUG